GACACAGUGGUGAAAUGGUAUCGCACCCGCUUAGCUUGUAUCAGCACCUCAACGUGUUUCUGCGGAAGACACCUGUUCGAUUCGGGUCUGGGUUU